AUUGAACGCUGGCGGCAUGCCUUACACAUGCAAGUCGAACGGUAACAGGUUUUCGGAUGCUGACGAGUGGCGAACGGGUGAGUAAUACAUCGGAACGUGCCUAGUAGUGGGGGAUAACUACUCGAAAGAGUGGCUAAUACCGCAUGAGAUCUACGGAUGAAAGCAGGGGAUCGCAAGACCUUGUGCUACUAGAGCGGCCGAUGGCAGAUUAGGUAGUUGGUGGGAUAAAAGCUUACCAAGCCGACGGUCUGUAGCUGGUCUGAGAGGACGAUCAGCCACACUGGGACUGAGACACGGCCCAGACUCCUACGGGAGGCAGCAGUGGGGAAUUUUGGACAAGGGGCGAAAGCCUGAUUCAGCAAUGCCGCGUGCAGGAUGAAGGCCUUCGGGUUGUAAACUGCUUUUGUACGGAACGAAAAGCCCUGGGUUAAUACCCUGGGGUCAUGACGGUACCGUAAGAAUAAGCACCGGCUAACUACGUGCCAGCCGCCGCGGUAA
rnacentral:rRNA from 1 species